GGCUGGUCCAAAGGUAAUGAGUUACCUCAAUUGAUUGUUCACAGUCAGUUGUAGAUCAAACUCCUCAUUCUAGUCUUCCCCCCACCUCACUACAGCACUUGACUAGUCUUAA
rnacentral:Y_RNA from 1 species